UGCAGAGUAAUCUGAAAUGACCAGAGGAUCCAUCCAGGGAUGGAAGUGCUCUGAAGGUAGGAAGAAUGAAGACUCUAGUAAGUGUUCAGAUUCCAUCUCUACAUGUAAGAGGCUGAGUACUGGAUGAUUGAAAUGCUACCCCUGUUUGAUUAUUCCUGUUAAAUAUGCUCGAUCCAGUGGGAUGGCUCAGAGUCUGACUUGAGGUUGUCCUCUCUAAUUUUAGACGCUGAUCUUGCUCCUCCUUCUCUGCUGCAGGUGUGGAGCACAACACCUGCCUUGACCCAGGCACUUCAGGAAUUGGGAAUAACAAUCGCACAGAAAGGGAGGAGAGGGAAGGAAGGAGGAGAGAGGGAAGAGGAGAGGGAUUUCGGGUUCCUGCCUCCCCGGGAUCUCGGGGGUUCUGCCAGCCUCCUUCAGAUGUGCUGAUAAGCAGCGAGAUGCUGAACUCGGAGCAGCCGGACUGAAAUAUUUUGACCCACGAGCACAGAUAGAGCAGAGAGUGGGAGGGAUUUAUCUUUUCUCAGGUGAGCAGGUAGAUUGGGAGGGAUUUCUCUUUUCUCAGGUGAGCAGCAGAUAGCAGGAGGGAUUU